rnacentral:rRNA from 1 species
AGUGAACGCUGGCGGUAGGCCUAACACAUGCAAGUCGAACGGCAGCACAGUAAGAGCUUGCUCUUACGGGUGGCGAGUGGCGGACGGGUGAGGAAUACAUCGGAAUCUACUUUUUCGUGGGGGAUAACGUAGGGAAACUUACGCUAAUACCGCAUACGACCUACGGGUGAAAGCAGGGGAUCUUCGGACCUUGCGCGAUUGAAUGAGCCGAUGUCGGAUUAGCUAGUUGGCGGGGUAAAGGCCCACCAAGGCGACGAUCCGUAGCUGGUCUGAGAGGAUGAUCAGCCACACUGGAACUGAGACACGGUCCAGACUCCUACGGGAGGCAGCAGUGGGGAAUAUUGGACAAUGGGCGCAAGCCUAAUCCAGCCAUACCGCGUGGGUGAAGAAGGCCUUCGGGUUGUAAAGCCCUUUUGUUGGGAAAGAAAAGCAGCAGGUUAAUACCCCGCUGUUCUGACGGUACCCAAAGAAUAAGCGCCGGCUAACUUCGUG